rnacentral:rRNA from 1 species
ACGUAUGGAGCAAGCGUUAUCCGGAUUUACUGGGUGUAAAGGGAGUGUAGGUGGUAUCACAAGUCAGAAGUGAAAGCCCGGGGCUCAACCCUGGGACUGCUUUUGAAACUGUGGAACUGGAGUGCAGGAGAGGUAAGUGGAAUUCCUAGUGUAGCGGUGAAAUGCGUAGAUAUUAGGAGGAACACCAGUGGCGAAGGCGGCUUACUGGACUGUAACUGACACUGAGGCUCGAAAGCGUGGGGAGCAAACAG